GAAAAAAAGAGAAUUAGUUCAGACAACUGUACAAAUUGUUUUUUUCUAAACUUAAACCUCAGUAUUCAGGUUUAAUUGCCGUGUUGGCACUUUGAGGGAAUUAAAGUUGGCAUGUGGUUUGCGGUUUGGGCACUCGGGCUCAAAAAGGUUCGCCAUCACUGCACUAACUCAACAUGUAGAUAUUAUGGUACCUACACUGUUACUUUAUUAACUUAUUAAUUUAUCUAGGGGCAAGAGAGUGGACAACAGCUGGAGUAGCCUGCACUUCUGUGGAUCGCCUCUUAGAUCUCAAGCUGCUUUUAGCUCAUCUUGUGCCAUUACAAAAAGUACUAGGACCAUUUGCAUGUCAGACUAACUCCACCCAAAAGGGCAGUCCAGAUCCGAAAUGCAGGCCAGUUAUCUCUGCAUGAGAGAUACCGCAACCCUAGACGAUCGUUUCCACCUUGUUAGGCAUUGUCAGUGAGGUGUAGCUGAUACCCCUCUAGGCACCGUAAGCAAGGGGUCCACAUCUGGAUUACCCUUUAAAUUUGGGGAGAGGUGCAAGAUAGAU